rnacentral:rRNA from 1 species
GACAGAGGUGCCGAGCGUUAGGCGGAAUCACUGGGCUUAAAGCGUGUGUAGGCGGACCGUUAAGUACCUUGUGAAAUCCCACGGCUCAACCGUGGAACGGCUGGGUAUACUGGCGGUCUUGGGCCACCUAGGGGCAACCGGAACAAGCGGUGGAGCGGUGAAAUGCGUAGAUAUCGCUUGGAACGCCGACGGUGAAAACAGGUUGCUGGGGGUGUGCCGACGCUGAGACACGAAAGCCAGGGGAGCGAACCGG